rnacentral:rRNA from 1 species
AGCGAAAGCAUGGGUAGCGAACAGGAUUAGAUACCCUGGUAGUCCAURCCGUAAACGUUGGGCACUAGGUGUGGGGACCAUUCCRCGGUUUCCGCGCCGCAGCUAACGCAUUAAGUGCCCCGCCUGGGGAGUACGUCCGCAAGGCUAAAACUCAAAGGAAUUGACGGGGGCCCGCACAAGCGGCGGAGCAUGCGGAUUAAUUCGAUGCAACGCGAAGAACCUUACCAAGGCUUGACAUGUUCUCGAUCGCCGUAGAGAUACGGUUUCCCCUUUGGGGCGGGUUCACAGGUGGUGCAUGGUUGUCGUCAGCUCGUGUCGUGAGAUGUUGGGUUAAGUCCCGCAACGAGCGCAACCCUCGUUCCAUGUUGCCAGCACGUAAUGGUGGGGACUCAUGGGAGACUGCCGGGGUCAACUCGGAGGAAGGUGAGGACGACGUCAAAUCAUCAUGCCCCUUAUGUCUUGGGCUUCACGCAUGCUACAAUGGCCGGUACAAUGGGUUGCGAUACUGUGAGGUGGAGCUAAUCCCAAAAAGCCGGUCUCAGUUCGGAUUGGGGUCUGCAACUCGACCCCAUGAAGUCGGAGUCGCUAGUAAUCGCAGAUCAGCAACGCUGCGGUGAAUACGUUCCCGGGCCUUGUACACACCGCCCGUCAAGUCACGAAAGUUGGUAACACCCGAAGCCGGUGGCCUAACCCUUGUGGGGGGAGCCGUCGA